rnacentral:lncRNA from 1 species
AUUUAUUGUGGUACUUUUGGUAUGUAGGCCAGGAAAUCCAAUUAGAAUUUUGGAGUCUUUAAUGGGAAGGCUCCUCUAUGUUUCCUAUAUAUAGGCUAGGUCCCCCUUUUCUCUCCAUGUGGUUCAUAGCCUACCCAAUUGACGGCUAUCUUUUGUGAGGAGCAAGGAAGGGAAGAUUCAGCCGCUAUUAUUCCGGGUGAUUGAAGAUCGUAUUCAAUAUGUCUUCCGCAGGUAUAUCUCUCAAAUUUGAAUACGGUAAUUAUGUGAUUCUAAAUCUUAGCAUAUUAUUAUUUUUAUAUUUAACAAUUGGUAUCAGAGCCUCCAUGCUAGGAUUAGAAUCCUUCAU